UUGACAAAGAACCCAGGAAUGGCGUUAAAGGUUUCUUUGGGCACUGUCCAAUUUAUGUAGCAAUUGUGUUGGCCACAUCUGCGGAGUUGUGAAACUUGUACAGGCUCAUGAAGCAUCCAAAUGAGGCAACAUCAACAUCAGUGCCCUUUCCCUGCCUCAUUGCCUCAGGAAACCAACCUAACUAAAGGUAUGUAAGUUUCAGGUCCCACAAAAUUCAGAUCCAACCUUGAGUAGUUGCUUUUUCAUUGAGUCCUGUGAAGCUCAGGUUUCUGCAGAGGAUACCAGAAGGAAAGCUUCACCUACAGCGUAUCUGGUCUGAUCUGUUCUGCAUAUUAAAGUUCAUGCUAUUUUCUUUGUGAUAAAUAAAGGGUGUUC